rnacentral:rRNA from 1 species
GAUGAACGCUGGCGGCGUGCUUAACACAUGCAAGUCGAACGGAAAGGCUCCUGCUUGCAGGGGUACUCGAGUGGCGAACGGGUGAGUAACACGUGGGUGAUCUGCCCUGCACUUCGGGAUAAGCCUGGGAAACUGGGUCUAAUACCGGAUAGGACCACAUUUUGGAUGGUGUGGUGGAAAGUUUUCCGGUGUGGGAUGAGCUCGCGGCCUAUCAGCUUGUUGGUGGGGUAAUGGCCUACCAAGGCGUCGACGGGUAGCCGGCCUGAGAGGGUGUACGGCCACAUUGGGACUGAGAUACGGCCCAGACUCCUACGGGAGGCAGCAGUGGGGAAUAUUGCACAAUGGGCGCAAGCCUGAUGCAGCGACGCCGCGUGGGGGAUGACGGCCUUCGGGUUGUAAACUCCUUUCGCUAGGGACGAAGCGCAAGUGACGGUACCUGGAGAAGAAGCACCGGCUAACUACGUG